rnacentral:lncRNA from 1 species
UCAUUUCCUAUUUUCCCCUCUGCUUUCCAGAGCAACGAAGCAAAUUUCUUGAGAAUCUGGACCCUAGGCUUCUCAACUUGAUGGCCUUGGAAAAGAUGUGAACUAACUAUCCUCUUUAUGUCUGUCAUGGAUGGGAGAAGAAAGGUUGGAAAAUGCAGCAGAAAUAAAGUAUUUGCUCUGCUGAAGAUGGAAAAUGUAUUGCCAGGUUUUCUGUGAAAAGAACUAUGGGCUGAAAGUGGGCUGAAAGAACAACCUCAGGCACCUCAACUGGACUACGAAGG